rnacentral:rRNA from 1 species
GCUCAGGAUGAACGCUAGCGGCAGGCUUAAUACAUGCAAGUCGAGGGGCAGCAUGACUGUAGCAAUACAGUUGAUGGCGACCGGCAAACGGGUGCGGAACACGUACAGAACCUUCCUUCGAGCGGGGAAUAGCCCAGAGAAAUUUGGAUUAAUACCCCAUAGUAUAUUAGAGUGGCAUCACUUUGAUAUUAAAGAUUUAUCACUUGAAGAUGGCUGUGCGGCUGAUUAGGUAGUUGGCGGGGUAACGGCCCACCAAGCCUUCGAUCAGUAACUGGUGUGAGAGCACGACCAGUCACACGGGCACUGAGACACGGGCCCGACUCCUACGGGAGGCAGCAGUAAGGAAUAUUGGUCAAUGGACGAAAGUCUGAACCAGCCAUGCCGCGUGGAGGAUGAAGGUCCUCUGGAUUGUAAACUUCUUUUAUAUGGGACGAAAAAAGGGUUUUCUAACUCGUCUGACGGUACCAUAUGAAUAAGCACCGGCUAACUCCGUG